UGGAUGACAAGAAGAACGAAGACACCGGAAAGUCGCUAAGAAAGACAAAGAUUCAGUGAACAAAUCUGGGGGCAGGGCCCAAAAGAAGAAGUGGUUCAAAGGCAAAGUCCGGGACAAGCUCAAUAACUGAGUCGUGUUUGACAAACCUACCUAUGACAAACUCUGUAAGGAACUUCCUAACCAUAAACUUAUAAGCCCUGCUGUGGUCUCUGAGAAACUGAAGAUUCGAGGCUUCCUGGCCAGGGCAGCCCUUCAGGAGAACCUUAGUAAAGGACUUAACAAACUGGUUUCAAAGCACAGAGCUCAAGUAAUUUACAUCAGAAAUACCAAGGGUGGAGAUGUUAUAGCUGCUGGUGAU
rnacentral:lncRNA from 1 species